GACGAAGGGGGCUAGCGUUGUUCGGAAUUACUGGGCGUAAAGCGCGUGUAGGCGGUUGCCCAAGUCGGGUGUGAAAGCCUUGAGCUCAACUCAAGAAAUGCACUCGGUACUGGGUGACUAGAGGACCGGAGAGGAUAGUGGAAUUCCCAGUGUAGUGGUGAAAUGCGUAGAUAUCGGGAGGAACACCAGUGGCGAAGGCGGCUUCCUGGCCUGUUCUUGACGCUGAGGCGCGAAAGCUAGGGGAGCAAACGGG
rnacentral:rRNA from 1 species